rnacentral:lncRNA from 1 species
AAUUUUGGAAUAUUUCUGCCACAUCCCUGAUUGCAGCAAUAGCUAGAGGUGAGUAGGAACUACUCACUUUAGAUGGAGCGUGUGUAGUGCACACCAGUGUAUUACAUGUCCACUGCUCCCCGGGGGGACCCCCACAAUUGAGAUGAGUGUGAGUCAUCAUGCGUCAUCCCACACAGGCCCUGCUGCACACAUUCACACUGCCUACCCAGCUCCUGCAGGCAUUGGACAGUGUAAUUUCUUUUGUUGGGACACUGAGGCUGCUGUUGUAAACCAAAGACCUUAAUGUCCUCCUGGUUGUCUGUGUGGUGGGGUUGCUAGAUUUAGCAAACACAAAAUGCUGAAGCAGAACAACCACCACCCAAGAACAAAAUAAAAUGGAAUGUCCAGGUAAAUUUAUAUUUCAGACAAACAACGAAUGAUUUUUCAAUAUAAGUAUGUCUUCAGUACUGACAUUUUCUCUAGCCUCUUUGUGAAGCAAAGCAGCAUUGGUGCUGAGAUGGUGUCCUGACCUUGUAUUUCUGGUACACAGAACCAGGUACAUUCCCUACCCAUGGCUGCCCAUUCUAUGCCUCCAUUGACUGAGGUCACCUCGAGAGAGGCUCUGCUUCUUGCACCUGAUGCUCCACAAUAGCCCAGGUGUUGGAUGAGUAGCCUGUCGGAAUAGAUUGGCUCAGAGGAAUGAUGAGAGCCAAAGUUGGAAGGUCAUUUGGGGACAGACUGCAGAGGGCCCUUAUGCCAGAAUCAAGAUUGAAGGCGACACCAUGGCAGUGGCAUUUCAAGAAGAUGCAGCUGACAUUGUUUUGAGAAACAGGAAGACAGCAUUCCUGGGGGUGAGGAGCUCCCAAGAAAGUUGUGGGGAUACUGAGGUUGGCAGUAAUGAGGGUCUCCAUUGGAAGGUGGAGGCUGGAAUGGAGAGGAGUUGACAUAGGCAACCAGUGUUGUAGGAAGAAUCAAGAGGUUUGGUGACAGCUUGAAUGAGUUGGUGACACUUCUAUGGUUAUCGAAUGGGGGCAGCAGCACUGCCCUGAGCUAUAUUUCCCAGGAAGCUGGGAGGGGAGCUGCCCUGAAGAGAAAAGGAACAAUGCCUUUUUAGAUGUGUUGACCUGGAGGUGCAGUCAAAUAGAAAAAUCCAGUAAGAGGUUGAAAAUUCUGCGUUGACCUCAGGGUUAGAUUCCACUGGAAUCACGGACUCCA